rnacentral:rRNA from 1 species
UACGUAGGGUGCAAGCGUUGUCCGGAAUUAUUGGGCGUAAAGAGCUCGUAGGCGGUCUGUCGCGUCGGCUGUGAAAACCUGAGGCUCAACCUCGGGCCUGCAGUCGAUACGGGCAAACUAGAGUACUGCAGGGGAGACUGGAAUUCCUGGUGUAGCGGUGAAAUGCGCAGAUAUCAGGAGGAACACCGGUGGCGAAGGCGGAUCUCUGGGCCUUACCUGACG